UCGUGUUUUCAAUUUCAAUUUCUCUUCUUUUCUAACUUUUCGUUGGUUGUAGCGUGAACUUACAAGCAAAGAUUUUUUCUCUUCUUUUCAAGUCUAGAAACACGUACGGAUAAACACCACAAAUUUUCACCUUUUUCCCUUCCCCUCAAGGCAGAACAAUUUUUGCAUUUCUUUCUUCUCUUUUCUUAUUAUUAUAAGUUGUUUUUUUUUUCCAUGGAUCUACUUCUUUUGUUUGCGGUUCGCAAAGUUUUUAAGAGAUGAGUUUUUGAUUUUUGUCUGCUUUUUUUAUUUUCAUUUGUUCAUGCUGAUGGGUUUUUCGAUUCUCUGUGUUGCUUUGACCUUCGAAACCAUUGAUUCACCUAGCCUUGAGUGGGGAUCCAGGUUACGAAACCAAGGUGGUUGUGAGGAUAUGUCUUGCUGAUGGUAUUGACAUGCUCCUAGCAUUGUUGGUGAUGGAUGAUUCUUGCAUGAUAGAUUAAUUGUAUGGGAAUUCAUUGGAACCCUUGUGAUGUUCAGGUGUUGAAACCUGGCUGGAAUCAUUAUCGCCACUACAUCAGCAAGUUUGUCCUUUCCUCGCACUGUCUUUCUUUCUCUUCUUCUUCUUCUUUGCAUAGGAUUCGGUUCCUAUAGAUAAAGAGCAUACAUGAAACAUGCCUUCGGUACAAAUACUAACAGAUAUGUAUAAAGUCAUGUUAGUCCCAUGAUAAUGACAGACUUGGCUUGAGCAAAAUUAACCACAUCUUUUGAACUAAAUUUUCAUUUUGUUAGUUUUAAAUGAAUACUUUAGUUGUUUGCUACUUUGAAUAGUCAGAAUACAUUUUUUUUCUUGCUUGGUUAA